UACGAAGGGGGCUAGCGUUGCUCGGAAUGACUGGGCGUAAAGCGCGCGUAGACGGUUUGGUAAGUCAGAUGUGAAAUCCCCGGGCUCAACCUGGGAACUGCAUUUGAUACUGCCUGGCUAGAGUAUCGAAGAGGGAAGUGGAAUUUCCGGUGUAGCGGUGAAAUGCGUAGAUAUCGGAAGGAACACCAGUGGCGAAAGCGACUUCCUGGUCGAAUACUGACGUUCAUGUGCGAAAGCGUGGGGAGCAAACAGG
rnacentral:rRNA from 1 species